rnacentral:rRNA from 1 species
UGAGCCAAGUUUAGGGUUUUCUCAAAACCCAAGCAGUAUUGAACUGAAGAGUUUGAUCAUGGCUCAGAUUGAACGCUGGCGGCAGGCCUAACACAUGCAAGUCGAGCGGAUGAAGGGGGCUUGCUCCUGGAUUCAGCGGCGGACGGGUGAGUAAUGCCUAGGAAUCUGCCUGGUAGUGGGGGAUAACGUCCGGAA